rnacentral:rRNA from 1 species
UGCUAGUCGAACGACCAGAACUAUGUCUGGGAGUGGCACACUGCUCAGUAACACGUAGCUAACCUACCCUAGGACGUGGAUACCCCCGAGAAAUUGGGGUUAAUCCGCGAUAGAUGUAAUGUCCUGGAAUGGUAUUACGUCUAAAGGUAUUUCAUACAUGUUUGAAAUAUGCCUAAGGAUGGGGCUGCGGCCGAUCAGGCUGUUGGUGAGGUAAUGGCUCACCAAACCUUUGACCGGUACGGGCCAUGAGAGUGGUAGCCCGGAGAUGGACACUGAGACAAGGGUCCAGGCCCUAAGGGGCGCAGCAACCGCGAAACCUCCACAAUGCACUCACGUGCGAUGGGGCUAUCUCGAGUGCCACCUGAUGAAGGUGGCUUUUCCUUGGUCUUCAAAGCCUUGGGAAUAAGAGGGGGGCAAGACUGGUGUCAGCCGCCGCGGUAACACCAGCCCCUCGAGUGGUGGGGAUGAUUAUUUGGCCUAAAGCGUCCGUAGCCGGCCGUGAAAGUCUUCCGUUAAAUCCAGCGUCUCAAGCGUUGGACUGCGGGAGAUACUACACGGCUAGAGAGUGGGAGAGGUCAGCGGUAUUCUGGGGGUAGGGGCGAAAUCCUUUGAUCCCCGGAGGACCACCAGCGGCGAAGGCUGCUGACUAGAACACGUCUGACGGUCAGGGACGAAAGCUGGGGUAGCGAACCGGAUUAGAUACCCGGGUAGUCCCAGCCGUAAACGAUGCAUGCUAGGUGUUGGGUUGGCCACGAGCCACCCCAGUGCCGCAGGGAAGCCGUUAAGCAUGCCGCCUGGGAAGUACGAUCGCAAGAUUGAAACUUAAAGGAAUUGGCGGGGGAGCACCACCAGGCGUGAAGCCUGCGGUUUAAUUGGAGUCAACGCCGGA